rnacentral:rRNA from 1 species
GAUGAACGCUGGCGGCGUGCCUAAUACAUGCAAGUCGAGCGAACAGAUGAGGAGCUUGCUCCUCUGACGUUAGCGGCGGACGGGUGAGUAACACGUGGAUAACCUACCCAUAAGACUGGGAUAACUUCGGGAAACCGGAGCUAAUACCGGAUAAUAUAUUGAACCGCAUGGUUCAAUAGUGAAAGACGGUUUUGCUGUCACUUAUAGAUGGAUCCGCGCCGCAUUAGCUAGUUGGUAAGGUAACGGCUUACCAAGGCAACGAUGCGUAGCCGACCUGAGAGGGUGAUCAGCCACACUGGAACUGAGACACGGUCCAGACUCCUACGGGAGGCAGCAGUAGGGAAUCUUCCGCAAUGGGCGAAAGCCUGACGGAGCAACGCCGCGUGAGUGAUGAAGGUCUUCGGAUCGUAAAACUCUGUUAUUAGGGAAGAACAAAUGUGUAAGUAACUAUGCACGUCUUGACGGUACCUAAUCAGAAAGCCACGGCUAACUACGUG